UCAGUAACACGUAGUCAACAUGCCCAAAGGACGUGGAUAACCUCGGGAAACUGAGGAUAAACCGCGAUAGGCCAAGGUUUCUGGAAUGAGCCAUGGCCGAAAUCUAUAUGGCCUUUGGAUUGGACUGCGGCCGAUCAGGCUGUUGGUGAGGUAAUGGCCCACCAAACCUGUAACCGGUACGGGCUUUGAGAGAAGGAGCCCGGAGAUGGGCACUGAGACAAGGGCCCAGGCCCUAUGGGGCGCAGCAGGCGCGAAACCUCUGCAAUAGGCGAAAGCCUGACAGGGUUACUCUGAGUGAUGCCCGCUAAGGGUAUCUUUUGGCACCUCUAAAAACGGUGCAGAAUAAAGGGGUGGGCAAGUCUGGUGCCAGC
rnacentral:rRNA from 1 species